UGUGAACGUUACCAAACUGUUGCCUCGGCGGGAUCUCUGCCCCGGGUGCGUCGCAGCCCCGGACCAAGGCGCCCGCCGGAGGACCAACCAAAACUCUUAUUGUAUACCCCCUCGCGGGUUUUUUUAUAAUCUGAGCCUUCUCGGCGCCUCUCGUAGGCGUUUCGAAAAUGAAUCAAAACUUUCAACAACGGAUCUCUUGGUUCUGGCAUCGAUGAAGAACGCAGCGAAAUGCGAUAAGUAAUGUGAAUUGCAGAAUUCAGUGAAUCAUCGAAUCUUUGAACGCACAUUGCGCCCGCCAGUAUUCUGGCGGGCAUGCCUGUCCGAGCGUCAUUUCAACCCUCGAACCCCUCCGGGGGGUCGGCGUUGGGGAUCGGCCCUGCCUUGGCGGUGGCCGUCUCCGAAAUACAGUGGCGGUCUCGCCGCAGCCUCUCCUGCGCAGUAGUUUGCACACUCGCAUCGGGAGCGCGGCGCGUCCACAGCCGUUAAACACCCAACUUCUGAAAUGUUGACCUCGGAUCAGGUAGGAAUACCCGCUGAACUUAAGCAUAUCAAUAAGCGGAGGA
rnacentral:rRNA from 1 species